rnacentral:rRNA from 1 species
GACGAACGCUGGCGGCGUGCUUAACACAUGCAAGUCGAACGAUGAAACCUAGCUUGCUAGGUCGAUUAGUGGCGAACGGGUGAGUAACACGUGACUAACCUGCCCCUUUCUCUGGGAUAACGCUCCGAAAGGAGUGCUAAUACCGGAUACUCACAUCGAGGCACAUGCCUUGGUGUGGAAAGUUUUUCGGAAAGGGAUGGAGUCGCGGCCUAUCAGCUUGUUGGUGAGGUAACGGCUCACCAAGGCGACGACGGGUAGCCGGCCUGAGAGGGCGACCGGCCACACUGGGACUGAGACACGGCCCAGACUCCUACGGGAGGCAGCAGUGGGGAAUAUUGCACAAUGGGCGCAAGACUGAUGCAGCGACGCCGCGUGAGGGAUGAAGGUCUUCGGAUUGUAAACCUCUUUCAGUAGGGACGAAGCGAAAGUGACGGUACCUAAAGAAGAAGCACCGGCUAACUACGUGCCAGCCGCCGCAGUAA